AUUCCAGCUCCAAUAGCGUAUAUUAAAGUUGUUGCAGUUAAAAAGCUCGUAGUUGGAGUUCAGAGUGAGCUCAGCCGGUCGGCCUCAUGGGUCAGAACUGGUCGACUCUCUCUUGUUUGUGGAUCCCGUCCGGAGUUAACUCUUCGGAAUGUGGAGUUCACAUCGUUUACCUUGAAAAAAUUAGAGUGUUCAAAGCAGGCGUUUGCUUGAAUAUAUUAGCAUGGAAUAAUGGAAUAGGACCCUGGUUCUAUUUUGUUGGUUUUGAGGACCAGAGUAAUGAUUAAUAGGGAUAGUUGGGGGCAUUCAUAUUUCAUUGUCAGAGGUGAAAUUCUUGGAUUUAUGAAAGAUGAACUUCUGCGAAAGCAUUUGCCAAGGAUGUUUUCAUCA
rnacentral:rRNA from 1 species